CAUUUUCAUACUUAUUUUUCAUUUUUAAUUUUUCCAAUAAGAUGUCGUUUAUAUAUAUAUAUAUAUACUUUGUUUCAGGUGGCUUGUGACAACUUGGGUUGAGUUUCACUUCGAUAAAACUUGGCUGUUUUCUCGACUUUCGUUUACAGUGUUGGGUAGUAUUUCUAUUGCCAUUUUGGUGGAAGAAGACAAACAAUCAAUGCGUGAAGAGAUCCGGAUGUUGAAAUCUCAACAAGGUCCAUCUGGUAAUCCUCAGCAUACCAGUACAGAAGCUGAGUCGCGGUUUGAAAGCCUUCUCCAAAGAUAUUUACCAUCACAAC